GCCGGGUGACCUUGGAAAUCCAGAGCGGGUGAUGCCUGUCCGACCGUUUCUAGGCGACCCACUCUUGGUUUCCAUGGUUGCCCCGG
rnacentral:pre_miRNA from 10 species